UACGUAGGGGGCAAGCGUUGUCCGGAAUCAUUGGGCGUAAAGGGCGCGUAGGCGGGCUGUCAAGUCUGGGGUGAAAUGCCGCGGCUCAACCGUGGAACUGCCUUAGAUACUGACGGCCUCGAGGAAGGUAGGGGCAUGCGGAACUGUAGGUGGAGCGGUGAAAUGCGUUGAUAUCUACAGGAACUCCGGUGGCGAAAGCGGCGUGCUGGACCUUUUCUGACGCUGAGGCGCGAAAGCUAGGGGAGCAAACGGG
rnacentral:rRNA from 1 species